GGUUGAAGUGAACACUUUUAAAAAUGUUAGGGAUCAGCUUGUUGCAUGUGUUAAGGUCUAAGGACCUGGAGUGUGAUAUCCCUUUAUAUAUAAGCAUAACAGUAGGUCACUUAGGGCUCACAGAAAUUAGAUCUGGCACAUGCUCUCUCGCCUCUCUCUCACAGAAUCACGCGAAGCCUCUCACGGUGAAGCCUCUCUUCUCUGUUCGACGUCUCUCUUUCCCUCCGUCGCCAUUGAUCAUCUCCUUCAGCCAUAAGUCUCUUUCUCAUAGAUUAAAGCAAAGUUACAGAUUUUUUUUGCAACAGUAUGUUCGGUUGAUUGCAAAUACUAGUUCUUUUGGGUGUGAUUUCUGAUCCUUGUAUUCCAUUUUUGUUGGGUAUUCCAGAAGCGAUUUACAGU